AUUUUGGUUGAGAGUAAACGGAUUUGUAUACAAGUUGUGAUGAGUAUAGGAAAGUUGUGGGCUAGUUGUAGCAGCUGGGGUUGGAUUCAGAGAUGGAGAAUGGGGAUGAAGAGGAUUAUUAUCGAACUUGACCCAGCCAGUGAAGAAAUUGGAGUAAGGGUCAGCCAUGGUUGAAAAGGUGUGAGAGGAAUAGUUCUGCUUGAUGGAGAGAGAGAGAGAGAGAGAGAGAGAGAGAGUACAAGAUGACUGAAGAGAGUUUGGAUUGUGGAAGAGAGCAGAGAGAGAGAGAGAGAGAGAG
rnacentral:misc_RNA from 1 species